AGAGUUUGAUCAUGGCUCAGAACAAACGCUGGCGGCGUGCUUAACACAUGCAAGUCGUACGAGAAAGUCCGCUUCGGCGGAUGAGUAAAGUGGCGCACGGGUGCGUAACACGUGGGUAAUCUGCCCUUCAGUGGGGAAUAACUCGCCGAAAGGCGGGCUAAUACCGCAUAAUACCGUUUCCACCCCGGUGGGACGGUCAAAGACAGCCUCUGUUUACAAGCUGUCGCUGAAGGAUGAGCCCGCGGCCUAUCAGCUAGUUGGUGGGGUAAUGGCUCACCAAGGCUGUGACGGGUAGCUGGUCUGAGAGGAUGGCCAGCCACACUGGAACUGAGACACGGUCCAGACUCCUACGGGAGGCAGCAGUGGGGAAUCUUGGGCAAUGGGGGCAACCCUGACCCAGCGACGCCGCGUGAGUGAGGAAGGUCUUCGGAUCGUAAAGCUCUGUCGGAUGGGAAGAAAUGUGUGGAAGUGAACAGCUUCCAUGCUUGACGGUACCAUCAGAGGAAGCACCGGCUAACUCCGUGCCAGCAGCCGCGGUAAUACGGGGGGUGCAAGCGUUGUUCGGAAUCAUUGGGCGUAAAGGGCGUGUAGGCGGCUGGAUAAGUCAGAUGUGAAAUCCCUGGGCUUAACCCAGGAAGUGCAUUUGAAACUGUCCGGCUUGAGUGAGGGAGAGGAAAGUGGAAUUCCUGGUGUAGAGGUGAAAUUCGUAGAUAUCAGGAGGAACACCGGUGGCGAAGGCGACUUUCUGGCCCUAUACUGACGCUGAGACGCGAAAGCGUGGGGGAGCAAACAGGAUUAGAUACCCUGGUAGUCCACGCUGUAAACGAUGUUCACUAGGUGUUGGGGGUAUUGACCCCCUCAGUGCCGUAGCUAACGCAUUAAGUGAACCGCCUGGGGAGUACGGUCGCAAGACUAAAACUCAAAUGAAUUGACGG
rnacentral:rRNA from 1 species